AUUGAACGCUGGCGGCAGGCCUAACACAUGCAAGUCGAACGGUAGCACAGAGAGCUUGCUCUCGGGUGACGAGUGGCGGACGGGUGAGUAAUGUCUGGGAAACUGCCCGAUGGAGGGGGAUAACUACUGGAAACGGUAGCUAAUACCGCAUAAUGUCGCAAGACCAAAGAGGGGGACCUUCGGGCCUCUUGCCAUCGGAUGUGCCCAGAUGGGAUUAGCUUGUUGGUGAGGUAAUGGCUCACCAAGGCGACGAUCCCUAGCUGGUCUGAGAGGAUGACCAGCCACACUGGAACUGAGACACGGUCCAGACGCCUACGGGAGGCAGCAGUGGGGAAUAUUGCACAAUGGGCGCAAGCCUGAUGCAGCCAUGCCGCGUGUGUGAAGAAGGCCUUCGGGUUGUAAAGCACUUUCAGCGGGGAGGAAGGCGAUACGGUUAAUAACCGUGUUGAUUGACGUUACCCGCAGAAGAAGCACCGGCUAACUCCGUG
rnacentral:rRNA from 1 species